UAAUCUGAUGCUGAUGAGGCAUGGCUGAAUGAGAGGGACUUCACACUGGGACUUCAUGCUGAAGGAAAGGUACAGGUUAUGGUGACCUUUUGUUUGUAAGGUCUGGCUGAAGAGGAGGUACUGUCCAUUGGGAACUCUUGCUGAUGAGCUCUGGUUGAAGGAGAGGAAAUUGACACUGGAACUUCAUGCUGAUUUUUCAGAUGAAGAAGAGACUACUUUACAUCUUAUAGAGUCCAUUGAUGAUGUACCAACAAUUUCUUCAAUUGAUACACUGGAAAUGCCAUAGGAGUUCAUCCAGAGAGGCAAGGAACGCAUCACAGACGCUACAGGCAGUAUACAAACAGAAGGGCCAGAAGAUGAUGCUGGUGAGUUGGGUCCUGGAGUAGAUGGAUCUGCGGAGGUAGGCUGUCUUCCAGAACAAAUUCACAGGUAUUCAUAGCGUCCUAACAGAGGUGUACCACCCUCGAGAUUGUCUUACCUUGCAGAGUCAACAUUAUUCAGUGAACCAUCUACAAUAGAGGAAAUUGAGAUGCUACCUGCCACAGAAGCUCAACAGUGGAGGAAAGCAGCACAAGAAGAGAUUGAUGCUCUAUACAAGAAUUGAACUUGGACACUAACUGAACUUCCACCUGGUAAGAAGCUUUCAUCGAAAUCAUCAAUAAAGAUGUUGAACAGCAGUGGGCCCAGGACAGAAGCCUGUGGCACUCCACUAGGCACUUCUUUCCAGGAUGGAGAUGCAGUGGUGAGUACCCUUUGGGUUUGGUUGCUCAACCUAUUACAAAGUCACUUAAUAGUAGUAUUGUCUAGCCCACAUUUUACUAGUUGUAAAAGAGAGUGGAGGCUUAGCACUACCUGACCCUAGUGAUUACUAUGAAGCGGUAAGCUUCGUUUGGCUAAAGGAGUGGAUUAGAUUAGAAAAUCGAGCAUUACUCAACCUAGAGGGAUAUAACCUAAGAUUUGGUUAACAUGAAUAUUUAUGGUACGGGAAAGAUAGAGUCAAUAAAGUUUUCCAGAGACAUCCCAUAAGGGCAAGUCUAUUAGCAAUUUGGAAAAGAUUUAAGGUGGGGAUGGAACAAAAAAAAAAAAACAGUUACAGAUACAACCCGUCAAAGCAAUGUUAAAUCCAAUUUUUAAUGAGGAAACAAGAACCUAUAGGGAGUACUUAAACAAAGAAAAAGAGCAUUGGGGACUAAAAGGAAGAGAAGAGUUACCACCAAUUAUGUGAUCUAUAUAUAUAAAAGAGUGAUGGAAUCAGGGCACUGGCCAAAACAACAAAACUACAGGCCCCCCAACCUCGAAAUUUGACAACACAACCCAUCAUCCACGGCUCUAGGUUGAUACAACAAAAACAAAAGAAAAAUAAAGUCCUAAUUAGAGGGAGAGCAAUAAUUGUUUUUAUCCAAUUGCUGCCAGUUAGAGGGCUAAGCUCCGCCCAACCACCACUACCUCAACAAUUUCUCACCAACACCAUCAGACAACACCACAGCAACGCGUGGCCGGGCACAGCUAGUAUAUUUUAAAAAGAUAAUAAAGUAAGGUUUGCUAAAAGAAAAUUGGAAUUGGAGAAUAUUUUAGAGAGGAGAAACAAGGGAUUAAUUCCCAGAUUAUAUAGGUACAUAUUAGACUACAACCUAGAAGACAAUCGAAUAAAAACAAUAAUGAUUUUGUAGGCUAAAUAUUUUGGGGAAAAUGUUGAUUUAGAUAAUUGGGAAUAUCUAUAAGAAAGAGGAUUUAAAUUCUCAAUAGCAAGAUCUAUUAGAGAGAACAUGUAUAAAAUGUUUUAUUGAAGCUAUGUAACACCUGAGAUAAUAGCUAAAAUAGACAAAUCUCACUGGGGGAGGGGGUGGAGAUGUAAAGUACAGAAAGGUACAUUUUUUCAUGCCUGGUAGACCUGUAAGUUGGUACAAACUUUUUGGGGAAAAGUGAUUAAGGAAAUAAAUAAUAUGAUCACUAAAAGGGUUAGGAAAAAUCCAGAGAUGUGCCUCUUGGGACUAUUUGGUGAAAAACCUAGUAAAGAAAAUGUAGAAAUCUGUCAAUACAGUUUUGUUGCAGUGAGAAUAUUAAUAAUAAAAUCUUGGAAAGGAGAAAUAGAGCUAUUGCUAAAGGACUGGAGAGAAAAAUUAUUAGAGUAUAUCCAAAUGGCCAAGCUAUCCAAUGCUAUACGUGAAAGAAGCAAUGAAGAUUUUGUCAAGAAAUGUAGCCUUGCAUUUGGAUAUCUAGAAAAGAAGACAAAAAUAGAUUUCAAAGUAGUCACAAGGAGAAUUUAUUAAUGUAGGAUAAGGGUAGGUUUUUUUUUUUGAGACACUAGUUUCACACUGGGUGGUGCCAGAAGUCAGGGGUGGUGGUUCACUGGUUAGGGGAAGGAGAGUUACUGGUUAUUGUCAUCUAAUGUUGGUGAGGUAUAAAUGAAGGAGGGGACUGACCAUUGUGACAUCUUGUUGAUCGGGUCAGGCUGAAAUAAAGGAAUUUAUUUCACUGAGAGCUCUUGUUGGUUAUGUCUGGAUGAAGAAGAGUAUUGGGCAUUGUAAUCUGUUGCUGAUGAGGCUUAAUGAAUGAGAAGGACUUAAUAAUUUUUUUCUGGUGAUACUUGCCAAAGGAGAGGAACUGGCCAUUGUGAGGUCUUAUUGGUGAUGUUUGGAUGAGAUUGUGUCUGGCUACUGGGGUUUCCUGUUGUUGAGACUUGUGUGAAAAAGUCACCAGCAUUGUGACUUCUUGCUGAACUCACCUAACUGAACAGGACUGGGCAUUGUCAUCCGAUGCGAUGGUGCCUGGCUGAAUAAGAGAGACUUGAUACUGGGACUUCAUGCUGUUGGGGCCUUGCUGAAGGAAAGAUACUGGCCAUUGUGACCUCUUGUUAGUGAGGUUGUCUGAAGAAGAAGGCCUGUUCAUUGGGAACUAUGGCUGAUCAGACUUGGCUGAUCAAGAGUGACUGCCGAUGGAGAAAUCUUGCCAAUGAAGCUUGGUUGAAGAAGAGGGACUACCCAUUGUGAACUGUUACAUAUGAGGCCUGAUAGUGACAUUGUGACUUUUUGUUUGUGAUGUCUGUCUGAAAGAGAGGACCUGGCCAUUUUAAAUUCUUGUUGGUGAGGUCUGGAUGAAGAAGUGGGACUAGUCAUUGGGCUCUCCUGCGGAUGAAUCCUAGCUGAAUCGGUGGGAAUGGCCAUUGGAAACUCUAUACAUCACGAUGAAGAGGACUGGAAGUCAACAAGAUAUAUAUAAAUACAUAUAAAUAUGUUUUACUCACCAUAUUUUUUCUUUUUAAUUUUUUUUUCUUUUUAAAUUUUUUGUUAUGUUUUCUUUUUAUUUCUUUCCCUCUCUUCCCUUUCCUCCUAACCUUCCCCAUUUUCCCCAUAUUUUUUUAUUCUAAUGAAAACCUCUAAUAAAAUUACAUUUUAAAAAUAAAGAGACAUCAUUCUGACCACUUGUUGGUGAGGUCUGUUUGAAAAAGAGGGACUGGCCAUUGUGAGGUCUUGUUGGUGAGGUCUGGAUGAGAGAAAGACUGACCAUUGGGGUCUCCCGCUGAAAACGUUCGACUGGUCACUGAUGUCACCUGGCUGAACAGUCCUGAUGCUGAUGAGGCUUGGCUGAAAGAAAGGUACUUGCUAUUGUAACCUCUUGUGGGUAAGGUAGGGCUGAAGAAGAGGAACUGUCCAUUGGGAACUCUUGCUGAUCAGAUCUGGCUGAUCAAGAGGGACUGUCCAUUGAGAAGUCUUGCUGAGGAGGCCAGGCUGAAAAAAAGGGACUCGCCAUUGCAAACUGUUGCUGAAGGAGAGGGACUGAGCAUUGUGACCUCUUCAGCAGACCUAAACCCUUCAACAGACCUUUGUCACACAACCAGCUGUAUUUAGUCAUAUGAAGAGGGAGCUUUAAUGGCCAGAUGUGGCAUCUAGUCAGCCAUCUGGCUGCUUCCAAUAUGCUCAGUGGAUUUUUGCCAGAGUACUGGCUAGAAAGAUGAUGGCUCUGUAUUCAGAGAGGCCUGACUGAGGCCUUAUGUGUUGCUGAUCUUCACUGAAGCAGAUUUAUGGACUAAGAAAGGAUUGCCUAUAACUGCUGAUUUCUGUAAUCUGCACUUUGAAUUGGAUCUGGAAACUUGUCGGGAGCCAAUGGAGCUGCUUAGUAGGAGGGGCAUGAUACUUUUCAAAUGGGAAAAAGCAGCAUACAAUGAUGUCUUCAGCUAGCAAUAUUUAUUAAAACCUUUUGGAAUAUGGAACAGCGCCUGACUUACAAGAAACAUAACAGCUUAACUGACUAGGUCCAGAAUUGCCUGAGCCUUUCAGGAAGCAACACAAUUGAGGCAUCCGCCGCAAAUGGAAAGCAUGUCUUGUUCACAACUCAUAUUUAUGCCCUCUGAAGAUUUUGCUGUUUUGUCUCUUCACUAUCGAGAGUUUGGAAAUAAUGAAGCUCAAUUGAAGUUACCACCCCAAACUAGCUCCUAUUUGAUAAUUUUGGUGAAGAAAGUUACCUUUUAAAAACAAUGCAAUAAGAACAUGGCCAUAGAGCCUGAAAAACUCACAGCGACCUAGUGAUUCCAGCCAUGAAAGCCUUUGAUAAUACAGUGCAAUAAGAGCAAAGUUA